CACGUAGGCACCAAGCGUUGUCCGGAUUUAUUGGGCGUAAAGAGCUCGUAGGCGGUUCAGUAAGUCGGGUGUGAAAACUUUGGGCUUAACCCAAAGCGUGCAUCUGAUACUGCUGUGACUUGAGUUCGGUAGGGGAGUGGGGAAUUCCUAGUGUAGCGGUGAAAUGCGUAGAUAUCGAGAGGAACACCUGCGGCGAAGGCGGGUUGCUGGGCUGAUACUGACGCUGAGGAGCGAAAGCGUGGGGAGCGAACAGG
rnacentral:rRNA from 1 species